AGUUUCAAAAUUGUCUUUCCUGACCCCUGACAUCGGAUACUUCAGAGGGCCCCUGGAAUGUCCAGAAAAGAGAGGUCCAGGAGCUCCAAGUUUAUCUUGGGACCUUAUGAGGAGAGGAUGACCCCACUCACAGUUUUCUCCUACAUUUUAGACUAAUCCUGCUUGUUCCUGUGAACCAACCAGCAAUCUCUGGCUGCAGCUCAGAAAGAACAAAAGGGGAUGGGCCUUCCCUGCUUCAUGUGUGCAAGCUGCUUUGGCACUCAUGGCGGGACCUGCCUAGGUCACAGGGACUUGGAGAUGCAAGGAUGGAAGAGGAAAAGAGGACACUCUUCCUUUUCUCCCUCAUGUACCCCAGGUAUCUGCUAGGAAGAAAAGGGAGCCAGGGAUGCCUGCUCCCCUCUUUCUAGAUGGGUAGCUAUUAAUCUUCAGUAUGUACCCCUUUUGAAUACAUCCUGAACCCCGGGGACUCCCUUAAAAAAAUGCCUUUUUGAGCUUACCCUUCCUAUUGUUUUGUUUUGAUACAUGUUUUCUAAUAACCCGGUUUGUCUGUUCUUAGACCAUCAAACUCCAAAUGGUCAUGCAACCAGAGCCUCUGACGAUGGCCCCUUCUGCUGGGAACCCUUAAAUAGGCCUCUGAGGAAGCUCUGACUGCCAUUUCCCCAAAAGCUCUGACUGCCGUUUCCCUGUCAGCAGGAAGCAGUGGAAUCUCAUUCUGUUACCGAGGCUGCAGUGCAGUGGCAUGAUCUCGGCUCACUGCAAGCUCCACCUCCCGAGUUCACGCCAUUCUCCUGCUUCAGCCCCUCGAGUAGCUGGGACUACAGGCGCCCGCCACCACACCCGGCUAAUUUUUUUUGUAUUUUUAGUAGAGAUGGGGUUUCACCAUGUUAGCCGGGAUGGUCUCGAUCUCCUGACCUCGUGAUCU
rnacentral:lncRNA from 10 species